CAAAGUACUUUGAAGAGAGAGUUAAACAGGGCGUGAAACCGCUGGCUGGUAAACGAGUGGAGCCACGAAGUCGUUUCGUAGAAUAAAGAAUACAAAUUCAGUCAAGGUUUCGGCUUUGAUGCACUUUUGUUUAUUCUUCUAUGUAUGCGUACACUGCAACCAAUUAGACAAUUAAUUGUGGAAACAGUUGCCCAACAUAGGGAGAAAUCUCUAUGUAGAGUAAUGAAAUGUUUAUAUAGCUUCUGUAGGUAGCUUGGUGUGAUCCUCGUGGUCAUUCUGAGUGUCUGACAUGUUGUUAUGAGAACUACAAUUAAAUACUGAUUGGCACAAUGAAAAUCCAUAACUGGUAUUAGAUAACACUGGCAGUGUUGUAUAUGUGUACAAGUAUUUAUUAUCAGCGUAAGCUUAGUAGUUUUAAAUUUAGGCUUGCAGGCUACCUUUGAUUUCGGUCGUUGGUGCUUGUAUAGUUUCCUAUCUAAUUGGCUAUUAACUUUGCUGGUGAUCUUGUGCUUGCUAUGAUAGCAUGUAUGCAACAAUUGUUUAGUUAUUAUAUUGGCAGUGAGUAGGUCGGCUUUCCACACGACCC
rnacentral:rRNA from 1 species